rnacentral:misc_RNA from 1 species
UAGCUACUCUAAGGAGUGGAAGGGCAAAGAUAAGAGUGAAGGGAAGGAGAAAGUUGCCACUUCAGUAGCUUUUAAUGCCACUCAAAGGAGUAAGGACAUCAAGUGCUUCAAGUGUUUAGGGAAUGGGCAUAUUGCUUCUUAAUGUCCAAAUAAAAGAGUGAUGAUCAUGACUAAUGAUGGGGAGUUGGAAAGUGAAGAAGAGGGGGAAGAGUUGCAAGCAGAUGAUAGAGGAUAUGGGGCCGAAGGGCAUGAUGCAAAUGUCUUGGUGACUAUACGUAUUUUGGCUACACAAGCCAAGUGUGAGGGAGAUGAGGACUUGAUGCAAAGGAGAACAUCUUUCACACUAGAUGUAAGGUGAAGGAUAAAAAUUGUACUCUGAUCAUAGAUAGAAGGAGCUAUUGCAAUGUGGCUAGUGAGCUUAUGGUGGAGAAAUUG